AUUGAACGCUGGCGGCAUGCCUUACACAUGCAAGUCGAACGGUAACGGGCCUUCGGGUGCCGACGAGUGGCGAACGGGUGAGUAAUGCAUCGGAACGUACCUUUCAGUGGGGGAUAACGUAGCGAAAGUUACGCUAAUACCGCAUAUUCUGUGAGCAGGAAAGCAGGGGAUCGCAAGACCUUGCGCUGAUUGAGCGGCCGAUGUCAGAUUAGCUAGUUGGUGAGGUAAAGGCUCACCAAGGCGACGAUCUGUAGCGGGUCUGAGAGGAUGAUCCGCCACACUGGAACUGAGACACGGUCCAGACUCCUACGGGAGGCAGCAGUGGGGAAUUUUGGACAAUGGGCGCAAGCCUGAUCCAGCAAUGCCGCGUGCAGGAUGAAGGCCUUCGGGUUGUAAACUGCUUUUGUACGGAACGAAAAGGCUCUGGUUAAUACCUGGGGCUCAUGACGGUACCGUAAGAAUAAGCACCGGCUAACUACGUG
rnacentral:rRNA from 1 species